AUUGAACGCUGGCGGCAGGCCUAACACAUGCAAGUCGAGCGAGCGGCGGAAGGGUGAGUAAUGUAUGGGGCCUGCCCGAUAGAGGGGGAUAACUACUGGGAACGGUGGCUACAACCGAAUACUAUCGGAUGACCCACGUGGGUUUAGCUAGUAGGUGGGGUAAAGGCUCACCGAGGCGACGAUCUCUAGCUGGUCUGAGAGGAGGAUCAUCCACACUGGAACUGAGACACGGCCCAGACUCCGACGGAGGCAGCAGUGGGGAAUAUUGCACAAUGGGCGCAAGCCGGAUGCAGCCAUGCCGCGUGUAUGAAGAAGGCCUUAGGGUUGUAAAGUACUUUCAGCUGGGAGGCGUUACCAACAGAAGAAGCACCGGCUAACUCCGUGCCAGCAGCCGCGGUAAUUC
rnacentral:rRNA from 1 species